CCUACGGGAGGCAGCAGUGGGGAAUAUUGCACAAUGGGGGAAACCCUGAUGCAGCGACGCCGCGUGAGUGAAGACGUAAUUCGUUAUGUAAAGCUCUAUCAGCAGGGAAGAAAAUGACGGUACCUGAGUAAGAAGCCCCGGCUAACUACGUGCAAGCAGCCGCGGUAAUACGUAGGGGGCAAGCGUUAUCCGGAUUUACUGGGUGGAAAGGGAGCGUAGACGGCAGUGCAAGUCUGGAGUGAAAGGCGGGGGCUCAACCCCCGGACUGCGCUGGAAACUGUACGGCUGGAGUGCAGGAGAGGUAAGUGGAAUUCCUAGUGUAGCGGUGAAAUGCGUAGAUAUUAGGAGGAACACCAGUGGCGAAGGCGGCUUACUGGACUGUAACUGACGUUGAGGCUCGAAAGCGUGGGGAGCAAACAGGAUUAGAUACCCCUGUAGUC
rnacentral:rRNA from 1 species